AAAGGUAAAGGAACCACCAAGGGGGGAAGCAGAGGCUGCAGAAAGAUCAGUGCGCAUACUGCAAGGGGAUAGGGCAUUGGGCCCGAGAGUGUCUGAAAAGGGCCGGCAGGAAGGGAAGCAAGACUGAUCGAGUAAAAGUCCUAGAGCUAGAUGAACUAAGUGAUUAGGGGAGUCGGGGUUCGGACCCUCUCCCCGAACCCAGGGUAACUCUUAAAUUAGAGGGGACCCCUGUUGACUUCCUUGACACCAGAGCACAAUAUUCGGUCCUCCGCACCCCACAAGGAAAACUAGCCAGCAAGAAGUCCUGGGUACAAGGGGCAACUGGUAUGAGCCAAUAUUCAUGGACUACCCAAAGAACGAUAGAUUUGGGGACGGGACGGGUAUCCCACUCCUUUAUGGUAAUACCAGAAUGCCCCUACCCGCUGUUAGGAUGGGACUUACUGACCAAGAUUGGAGCUCAGAUAGCUUUCAGACAAGGGGGGGCCUCAGGUCCGAUGGCAAGGGCCACGCCAUCCAGGUCCUGACCAUGAAACUGGAGGAUGAAUACCGCCUCCACCAGGAGGCGCUCCCGAGAGAGGAUAAUAUAGACAGAUGGUUACAAGAAUUCCCCUCGGUUUGGGCACAGAUGGGGGAGAUAGGACUGGCUGCUCACAGGACCCCGGUCCUGGUAGAGCUCAAGCCAGGAGAGAGUCCGGUAAGGAUCAAACAAUACCCCAUGUCUCAGGAUGCCUGGAAGGGGAUCCAGCCACACAUCCAGAGAUUACGAAGCCUAGGCGUACUAGUUCCUUGCCAGUCUCCCUGGAACACCCCCCUAAUGCCAGUCAAAAAGCCUCACACAAAUGACUACUGACCGGUACAAGACCUCCGGGAAGUAAAUAAGAGGGUCACGGACAUACACCCAACUGUUCCCAACCCAUAUACUCUCUUGAGCUCCUUGGCGCCCUCCAGGGUCUGGUAUACUGUACUAGAUUUAAAGGACAUCUUCUUCAGUCUGCCGCUGGCACCCCAGAGCCAACCUUUGUUCGCCUUCGAGUGGCAUGAUCCGGAGGAAGGCUACAGUGGGCAACUCACCUGGACACGGCUACCUCAGGGAUUCAAAAAUUCGCCCACCAGCUUUGAUGAGGCACUACACGAGGACCUGGACACCUUCUCUGGCUGGGUGGAGGCAUACCCAACCAACCAUGAAAUGGCUCAGACGGUGACUAAGAAGCUACUAGAAGACAUCUUACCCAGGUAUGGUUUUCCUGCCAUGGUAGGAU